GCGAGAGCGGGUCGCCGCGUGC
rnacentral:siRNA from 1 species